AUUGAACGCUGGCGGCAUGCCUAACACAUGCAAGUCGAACGGCAGCGACAAAGAGCUUGCUCUUUGGGCGGCGAGUGGCGGACGGGUGAGUAAUGCGUAGGAAUCUACCCUAAAGCGGGGGAUAACUCGGGGAAACUCGAGCUAAUACCGCAUAAGCUCUAGGGAGUAAAGAGGGCCUCUAUUUAUAAGCUCUCACUUUAGGAGGAGCCUACGUCAGAUUAGCUUGUUGGUGGGGUAAAAGCCUACCAAGGCGACGAUCUGUAGCUGGUCUGAGAGGACGAGCAGCCACACUGGGACUGAGACACGGCCCAGACUCCUACGGGAGGCAGCAGUGGGGAAUAUUGGACAAUGGGCGCAAGCCUGAUCCAGCAAUGCCGCGUGUGUGAAGAAGGCCCUUGGGUUGUAAAGCACUUUUCAGUA
rnacentral:rRNA from 1 species